GACGAACGCUGGCGGCGUGCUUAACACAUGCAAGUCGAACGGUAAGGCCCUUCGGGGUACACGAGUGGCGAACGGGUGAGUAACACGUGGGUGAUCUGCCCUGCACUUCGGGAUAAGCCUGGGAAACUGGGUCUAAUACCGGAUAGGACCACUGCCUGCAUGGGUGGUGGGGGAAAGCUUUUGCGGUGUGGGAUGGGCCCGCGGCCUAGCAGCUUGUUGGUGGGGUGAUGGCAUACCAAGGCGACGACGGGUAGCCGGCCUGAGAGGGUGACCGGCCACACUGGGACUGAGAUACGGCCCAGACUCCUACGGGAGGCAGCAGUGGGGAAUAUUGCACAAUGGGCGCAAGCCUGAUGCAGCGACGCCGCGUGAGGGAUGACGGCCUUCGGGUUGUAAACCUCUUUCAGCACCGACGAAGCGCAAGUGACGGUAGGUGCAGAAGAAGGACCGGCCAACUACGUGCCAGCCGCCGCCGUAA
rnacentral:rRNA from 1 species